rnacentral:misc_RNA from 1 species
UCCGGUUUGUCACCGGCAGUCUGGCGUGAGUCCCCAACUUAAUGCUGGCAACACGCCACGGGGGUUGCGCUCGUUGCGGGACUUAACCCAACAUCUCACGACACGAGCUGACGACAGCCAUGCAGCACCUGUCCUGGAGUCCCGAAGGAGGGCCCCUGUUUCCAGGGGCUUUCACCAGGAUGUCAAGCCCAGGUAAGGUUCUUCGCGUUGCUUCGAAUUAAACCACAUGCUCCGCCGCUUGUGCGGAGGAAGGUGGGGAUGACGUUCCUGUACCAUAGA